CAUCAACCUUUUCAGCGCAAACAUAUUCCUUUUUAACAACUUUGUUCUUGUCCUUUCCAUUUUCCACUAUAGACUGGACACCAGACUUGCCUAACUCUGGAGAACAGCAACCCUCUUUGUUGGGAUUUAAAUCAGCAUCUAAAUCAUCAACCUCAGGAUCCUCAGCUACAUCACUCUCAGAGUCCUCAUCUCUUUCAGCUUCAUCAGCAUCUUCUUCCACAAGACCACUUUUAAAUAUCUGGAUUUUUUCCCUAGCG
rnacentral:lncRNA from 1 species